ACCCGCGGCAAGACGGAAAGACCCCGUGAACCUUUACUAUAGCUUGACACUGAACAUUGAGCCUUGAUGUGUAGGAUAGGUGGGAGGCUUUGAAGUGUGGACGCCAGUCUGCAUGGAGCCGACCUUGAAAUACCACCCUUUAAUGUUUGAUGUUCUAACGUUGGCCCCUGAUCGGGGUUGCGGACAGUGUCUGGUGGGUAGUUUGACUGGGGCGGUCUCCUCCUAAAGAGUAACGGAGGAGCACGAAGGUUGGCUAAUCCUGGUCGGACAUCAGGAGGUUAGUGCAAUGGCAUAAGCCAGCUUGACUGCGAGCGUGACGGCGCGAGCAGGUGCGAAAGCAGGUCAUAGUGAUCCGGUGGUUCUGAAUGGAAGGGCCAUCGCUCAACGGAUAAAAGGUACUCCGGGGAUAACAGGCUGAUACCGCCCAAGAGUUCAUAUCGACGGCGGUGUUUGGCACCUCGAUGUCGGCUCAUCACAUCCUGGGGCUGAAGUAGGUCCCAAGGGUAUGGCUGUUCGCCAUUUAAAGUGGUACGCGAGCUGGGUUUAGAACGUCGUGAGACAGUUCGGUCCCUAUCUGCCGUGGGCGCUGGAGAACUGAGGGGGGCUGCUCCUAGUACGAGAGGACCGGAGUGGACGCAUCACUGGUGUUCGGGUUGUCAUGCCAAUGGCACUGCCCGGUAGCUAAAUGCGGAAGAGAUAAGUGCUGAAAGCAUCUAAGCACGAAACUUGCC
rnacentral:rRNA from 1 species